rnacentral:sRNA from 1 species
CUUUUGCUCUGCCAACAUCUCCGGGUGCUGCUCUGGUUUGUAGAAUGUCGGUCAUUUUUGACCUCUUAGGGUCCUGCUUCCCCCAACCGUGCUACUAACCCUUGAAGUCCUUAGGGGAUCUGCAGCACUCACUGCUGAUUGAUACUAGGGGCAGGUUUCUGGGUGUUUUGGGAUGAAGGGGGAUGUAACUCCCUGCAAUCUGUUACCUGGAUAUGAUACAAGCUAGAGGGUUUUCUAGUAGGUGGUGUCCAUCAUCUUGUGUUACUUUACUUUUGUAAGCAUCUCGUCCGACCGAAGUGUGUGGGAUGGGUCAAGUGAUCCUCAAAAAAGAAGGAAAUAUACUAAUGUCUGAUGUUUUGUGACCGUCAAUGGAAUAAACCAACGC